GGGUCGGAAGUUUAGGGCGUUAGAAUGCCAGUUUGCAAGGCUGAGGGGGUAUGAAUUAUACCCGGCCCU
rnacentral:tRNA from 1 species